rnacentral:rRNA from 1 species
UACGGAGGGCGCAAGCGUUGUUCGGACUCACUGGGCGUAAAGCGCGUGUAGGCGGCUUGGCAAGUCGGGUGUGAAAUCCCGAGGCUCAACCUCGGAACUGCACUCGAAACUGCUUGGCUCGAGUCCCGGAGACGGUGGCGGAAUUCCCGGUGUAGGGUGAAAUCCGUAGAUAUCGGGAGGAACACCAGUGGCGAAGGCGGCCACCUGGACGGUGACUGACGCUGAGACGCGAAAGCGUGGGAAGCAAAUAGG